UCAGCUUCAAAUUUGAAUAAGGUUAGGACUCCUAAUUAGAUGGGUCUUUUGAUAAGAUUGUGGUGCCUCAUCUAUUUAAGGAGGGGAUCUAACUAAUCAAUGGUUAAGAAAAAGUUUUGUGUGACAAAAACAAAAACACCAUGAUAUAAGAAAGGGGAGGGUAGAUGCUAUCUACUGGGAGCAUGGGAGUUCUUUGGUGCUUCUUUUCUUAGCAUGGAGGACUUGU
rnacentral:lncRNA from 1 species